AAUGAACAUUGGCGGCGUGGAUUAGGCAUGCAAGUCGUGCGAGAACCGUAGCAAUACGGGGACAGCGGCGAAAGGGAGAGUAAUACGUGGGUACCUACCCUCGGAUUCAGGAUAGCCGUGGGAAACUACGGGUAAUACUGAAUAACGUCUUCGGACCAAAGGUGUGAUUCCGUCCGGGGAGGGGCCCGCGUCCUAUUAGCUAGUUGGCGAGGUGACGGCUCACCAAGGCGAAGAUGGGUAUGGGAUGUGAGAGCAUGAUCCCACUCAUUGGGACUGGGACACUGCCGAGACGCCUGCGGGUGGCGACAGUCGAGAAACUUCGGCGAUGGGGGAACCCCUGGCCGGGGGACGCGGCGUGCGAGAUGAAGGCCUUCGGGUUGUAAAUCGCUGUCAGUGGGGAGGGAAUGCCGGUGGUUCUGCCAGCGGUUUGACCUAUCCGCAGAGGCAGGACGGGCUAAGUUCGUGCCAGCCGCCGCUGUAACAC
rnacentral:rRNA from 1 species